UUUAAAAGAACAUUAGUGUGAAUUUAGCUAGCUGUUGGCAGUUUAAGAGUGACUAACAGAUAUUAAAUAAGCAUGAAAUUCUGGCGGUGAAUGACACUUUUAUUGGGGCAAGGGCUGGGAGCUGAAGGAAGGAGAAAAAUAUUGCAACCAUCCAUGGUGACCUUCCCUUUUCCCUGGAUUUUACAGAGUCUUUGCGCAACUUUCCCAUCAUCGGGACAAGCCUGAGUUGGUGGAAGGGCCUUGUCCUUGCAGACUUCGACAGCACAUGAUGAACUUGGUGGAAUUGGAACUUGUUGGAUCCGCUGAAGUCAUUGACAAUCCCUUGCUGAUGUCACUGACACCAGGAUUUCCCCAAAUAACUGAAUAUUUCAGCCACUAACAGAUAAACACAUCUUCCAGUGUCAAGAAAGAAGCCUGUCUUGAAGACACUAUUGGGAACACAUGUAGGAACAGACAUCAUAUACUGGGCUGCAUAAAGAAAAAGGUGAAUAGAGGGCUGCAAAAAAUAAUUUUAAUCAGCUUUUCUGAACCUUUCCAUGUUUGAAAAACAAACUUGUGUUACUUAGUAUGUGAACUUAAAUACAACUGGGAUGGGACUUCUGUAUCAAAAACAUUUCCUCUAUUAAAAACCUGGAAACUGGCUGUCAUUACUCUUCCUUCUCUUUCUUCCCAAAUCAAAUAGUUGUGCCAACUGCUUGUUUUGUUUAACAGUCCCAGUCAGAGAGAUAUCAUGGCUAAUCACACUAUCAUUUUCUAAUGUUCACUGGAAGGAAAUCUCAAAUUGUUCUUGAGAA